ensembl:snoRNA Gm24422 predicted gene, 24422
CCUGCACCUAGAGGCACCGUAGGUGUGGCUGCUCUGUCACGGGUGGCAGAGAAAAGAGAGGCUAUGUCUAUGCUCAGUGUUCUGGCCUGUAACAUGUGAAUGAUUAGUAGUCUAACACU